rnacentral:rRNA from 1 species
GUUUGAUCAUGGCUCAGAACGAACGCUGGCGGUCAGAGCCUAACACAUGCAAGUCGAGCGCGCCCUUCGGGGUGAGCGGCGGACGGGUUAGUAACGCGUGGGAAUGUGCCCAAAGGUAGGGAAUAGCCUCUGGAAACGGAGAGUAAUACCCUAUGUGCCCUUCGGGGUGAAAGAUUUAUCG